GACGAACGCUGGCGGCGUGCUUAACACAUGCAAGUCGAACGAUGAACCCGGAGCUUGCUCCGGUGGAUUAGUGGCGAACGGGUGAGUAACACGUGAGUAACCUGCCCUUGACUCUGGGAUAACUGCGGGAAACUGUAGCUAAUACCGGAUACGACCCUCGGCGGCAUCGCCAGGGGGUGGAAAGAAUUUCGGUCAAGGAUGGACUCGCGGCCUAUCAGCUAGUUGGUGAGGUAACGGCUCACCAAGGCGACGACGGGUAGCCGGCCUGAGAGGAGGAGCGGCCACACUGGGACUGAGACACGGCUCAGACUCCUCCGGGGGGCAGCAGUGGGGAAUAUUGCACAAUGGGCGCAAGCCUGAUGCAGCAACGCCGCGUGAGGGAUGACGGCCUUCGGGUUGUAAACCUCUUUUAGUAGGGAAGAAGCGAAAGUGACGGUACCUGCAGAAAAAGCACCGGCUAACUACGUGCCAGCCGCCGCGGUAA
rnacentral:rRNA from 1 species